rnacentral:tRNA from 1 species
AAAAAAUUAGUUAAAAAAUAACAUUAGUAUGUCAAACUAAAGUCACUAGAAAUCCUAGUAUUUUUUA